AAAUAACAAAUUAAAUUAUAGAGAUAUUUUUAUCUCUACAAUAUAAUUUAAAUAGCAAAAAAAAAAAGAUUAAAAGAUUAAAAAAAAAAGGACGGUUAGCGACUAGACCCAAAGGGUCUAGUGGAUGAACAACUUAACUUCAAUCUCACCAUUGACAUCCAAAUGAGUAGUUGUGGCGUUUUGCAGGAAUUUGCAUGAGGGACUUGGUUGCUUCCAAAUCAACUCUAGAUGAUAGGCAAGAGGUCAGUGCAUGUAAACUGGGUGUUUUCUAUGAGAUUAAAUUUGGAAGUGAAACUUACAAACGAAUUAUUGGCUCAAGUGAUAAAUAUAUAUAUGUAUAUAUAUAUAUAUAUAUGUUCAUCUCUUUAUUAUUUAAGUUCAAAUUUACCUAAAAAAUUAUUAUAAGAUAAUUUUUUAUGAAUUCUCUAAAUUUGCUAUAAAUAAAUUUAUUUAAACUGAUUCGAAAAAAAAU
rnacentral:lncRNA from 1 species